rnacentral:rRNA from 1 species
UGAUAGCUGGUUCUCUCCGAAAUGCAUUUAGGUGCAGCGUCGGGGAUUACGUCCGGGGGGUAGAGCUACUGGAUGCUUGAGGGCCCGUAUCGGGUACCGACAGCAGCCAAACUCCGAAUACCCGUGACGCGUAUCCCGGCAGUGAGUCGGCGGGGGAUAAGCUCCGUCGUCGAAAGGGAGACAGCCCAGAUCGUCGUCUAAGGUCCCCAAGCGCGUGCUAAGUGGGAAAGGAUGUGGAGUCGCAUAGACAGCCAGGAGGUUGGCUCAGAAGCAGCCAUCCUUGAAAGAGUGCGUAACAGCUCACUGGUCUAGUGGUUCCGCGCCGACAAUGUAGCGGGGCUCAAGCACGCCACCGAAGACGCGGCAGCGUCCGUUUGGAUGCUGGGUAGGAGAGCGUCCCCAUCGGGGCGAAGCGGCGGCGCAAGCCUGCCGUGGACCGUUGGGGAGUGAGAAUGCAGACAUGAGUAGCGAGAGGCGGGUGCGAAUCCCGCCCGCUGGAUGACCAAGGGUUCCGGGGCCACGUUCGUCGUCCCCGGGUGAGUCGGGUCCUAAGGCGAGGCCGACAGGCGUAGUCGAAUGGAUGAACGGGCUGAUAUUCCCGUACCGGCAGCGAACCGAAACAACCGAGGCCUGGGGCGCUAACCUCCGGUCGCGUGCCGUCUCCCUUCGGGGGGUCGCGGCGCGGGCGCGUUGGGAUCCCCCCUCGUAGUAGGUCAGCGCAGGAGUGACGCAUCAGGGCAGCCGGCCGCGGAGGUGGUUUUCCGUGGUCAAGCGUUCGAGCCCGUCCCGCAGGCAAAUCCGCGGGGCGUCGGGGCGAGGCGUGAUGAUGGGGGCCUUACGGCCCGAUAUCCGGUGAUCCGUGGUGCCGAGAAAAGCUUCGGCGUCAGGCGCGUUGCCGCCCGUACCCCAAACCGACACUGGUGGUCAGGUAGAGAAUACCAAAGCGAUCGAGCGAAUCCUGGUCAAGGAACUCGGCAAAUUGCUCCCGUGCCUUCGGCAUAAGGGAGACCCCCUGCGGUGAUGAGCGGCGGGGGGUGGCACAGGCCAGGGGGUAGCGACUGUUUACCAAAAACACAGGAGCGUGCGAAGGCGCAAGCCGCUGUAUACGCUCUGACGCCUGCCCGGUGCCGGAAGGUUAAGAGGAUCCGUCAGCUUCUGCGAAGCGGUGAAUUCAAGCCCCGGUAAACGGCGGUGGUAACUAUAACCAUCCUAAGGUAGCGAAAUUCCUUGUCGGGUAAGUUCCGACCUGCACGAAUGGCGUAACGACUUCCCCACUGUCUCGACCAGGAGCUCGGCGAAAUUGCAGUACGAGUAAAGAUGCUCGUUAAGCGCAGAAGGACGAAAAGACCCCGGGACCUUUACUAUACCUUGGUAUUGGCAUUAGGCGCGGAUUGUGUAGCAUAGGCGGGAGGCUUCGAGGCGGGUGCGCCAGCAUCCGCGGAGCCGCAAGGUGAAAUACCGCUCUGUUCUCGUUUGAUGUCUAACCUCGAACAGUCAUCCUGUUCAGGGACAGUGCCUGGCGGGUAGUUUAACUGGGGCGGUUGCCUCCCAAAGAGUAACGGAGGCGCUCAAAGGUCCGCUCAGCCCGGUUGGCAAUCGGGUUUCGAGUGUAAUCGCACAAGCGGGCUUGACUGCGAGAGCGACGGUUCGAGCAGGGACGAAAGUCGGAGAUAGUGAUCCGGUGCCGGCGCACGGGCGCGGCAUCGCUCAACGGAUAAAAGGUACCCCGGGGAUAACAGGCUGAUCAUUCCCAAGAG